rnacentral:rRNA from 1 species
GAUGAACGCUGGCGGCGUGCCUAAUACAUGCAAGUCGAGCGAACGGACGAGAAGCUUGCUCCUCUGAUGUUAGCGGCGGACGGGUGAGUAACACGUGGAUAACCUACCUAUAAGACUGGGAUAACUUCGGGAAACCGGAGCUAAUACCGGAUAAUAUUUUGAACCGCAUGGUUCAAAAGUGAAAGACGGUUUUGCUGUCACUUAUAGAUGGAUCCGCGCUGCAUUAGCUAGUUGGUAAGGUAACGGCUUACCAAGGCAACGAUGCAUAGCCGACCUGAGAGGGUGAUCGGCCACACUGGAACUGAGACACGGUCCAGACUCCUACGGGAGGCAGCAGUAGGGAAUCUUCCGCAAUGGGCGAAAGCCUGACGGAGCAACGCCGCGUGAGUGAUGAAGGUCUUCGGAUCGUAAAACUCUGUUAUUAGGGAAGAACAUAUGUGUAAGUAACUAUGCACGUCUUGACGGUACCUAAUCAGAAAGCCACGGCUAACUACGUG